GAUGAACGCUAGCGGCAGGCUUAACACAUGCAAGUCGAGGGGUAACAGAGAGUGCUUGCACUCUGCUGACGACCGGCGCACGGGUGAGUAACGCGUAUGCAACCUACCUUUUACAGGGGGAUAGCCCAGAGAAAUUUGGAUUAAUACCCCAUAUUAUCUUUUUUUCGCAUGAUUUAGAGAUGAAAGUUUCGACGGUAAAAGAUGGGCAUGCGUCCUAUUAGUUUGUUGGUGAGGUAAUGGCUUACCAAGACUACGAUAGGUAGGGGCCCUGAGAGGGACCCCCCACACUGGUACUGAGACACGGACCAGACUCCUACGGGAGGCAGCAGUGAGGAAUAUUGGACAAUGGAGGAAACUCUGAUCCAGCCAUGCCGCGUGCAGGAUGAAUGCCCUAUGGGUUGUAAACUGCUUUUGUACAGGAAGAAACAUUUCCACGUGUGGAAACUUGACGGUACUGUAAGAAUAAGGAUCGGCUAACUCCGUGCCAGCCGCCGCAGUAACAC
rnacentral:rRNA from 1 species